AUGGGAAAUGUAGUGUCACCUUCCAAUGAUGUUACCAGGAAGGACCUUGGGAACCAGCUUUUCUGUCUGCUCAUGCGCCGCCCCGCCCACUCCACCAUUUUCCUCUGGAAGUGCUCAACCCUGAGGCGGUCCUGCGGCUGGGCAGGCUUGGGGCUUGGUUCUAUGUCCCUAUGGGUCGGUGUGAGGGCGAAGAGGGACCCGUGGGCCUCUGGGGAUCCCGGGGGGCCGGACCAGUGUUCCCUAGUUGUGGGAGCAGACGCGUGGGCGCAUCGCGGGCGAGCGAGGCCUGACGUGCAGCUAUGUUUCCAGUGUCCUCUGGGUGUUUCCAAGAGCAACAAGAAACGAAUAAAUCUCUGACAAAAAAGGCAGUCAUAUUUGUUACGUGAUUGGAAUGGAACCCGAGAAGAGAGCAUGCUGUGUUCUUGUGGGACAGGAAAGUUUGUGUGCAACAAGUCUGAACCACCACCUUCAUUGGUGACAUAGAUUAUGUGCUGGAACAUAUUUCACACCGGCCUGGCAGUAAACACUUAUAGUGUUGUGCAGUGGAAACGGUCACCUUCCGCUAAAGCAUGGCGUGUUGUGCAGUGGAAAUGGUCAUCUGCCACUAAAGCACAGUUUCCAUCGUAAGGUAUGAUCCUUGCUCAAAGAGUGUGGUCCCAAACAGCUUUUGGGAGGUCCUCCUUGAUUCAUGGAUGAGACCCGGAACAUCCUGAGGACUGAGUUAACCAUAGGUCCUUAAAUAACUCUCCACACCUUUUUCUUAGUUUAUCUCUACAUGCAGGGUGUGCAGCAGCCUGUUCAAAGUCAUAUUUUCCGGGAAACAUUUCCAGUGUUUAUUUGCGCUUUAGCCCACUCUGUGUAGUCUUAACUUAUUUCUUCUAAACUCACCAUUAACCUAAAUAAUAGUCAAAUUUAGCGGGACUGUAUUUGUCUUACUCGAGUCUUCUACCAUAGUUGAAACUGUCGUACCUGAGUGAGUUAGAGAGAAACGCCACACUUUGAGACGAAUUCAGGAGUCCUUUAUUAGCCGAUGGCUGAGAGAUGGCUAACGCACGAAAUUCUCUCGGCCCGGAAGAAGGGAAUAGAUUUACUUUUAUACUUUGGUUUAGAGAGGGGAGGGGAGAUUCCAGCUGCAGCAACUUUACAGAAGAAAAAAACAGACAAAAAAGUUUAAAAGACAGAUGGAUACAGGAAAACAAACUGUUCCCGGUGCAGGGGAUUUAAAUUCACCACAAAGUGAUAGGUGAGGGGGCUCUGGGCGUUAUCUGCUGGACAAAUGUGGUGGCUUUAUGAUACUAUCUCUGAGUAAUUUGCUGGGAACUGCCGACAUCGCUUGCCUCAGCACUUUAUCAGUUAAUUGCACUCUUUGAUAUGUUGAAAAUCAGCUUGCGCCAGUUAAAGUCCUUGAGGAAAGGGGGUGGGUAGGGAGCCCUUGAUGUCUUGUAAAUGAAGGAGCCAAAUGGAGUUUGUCUGGUUUUCUCAGCUAAAGGAGAGUCUAUUCAUGUUAAAAACAAGGUUAGCUAUCUAAGGAAGAGUCUUUUCAUGUUAAUAAAACGUUGGGUAUUACAAACCAUCUGUUCAUGAUCUAGAAAUUCUUCUGUGUUAGUUCUGUUAAAAGAAAAACUUUAAAGGAGUUUAAUUGAGCAAUAAACGAUUCACGAAUCGGACAGUCCCCAGAAUCACAGCAGAUUCAGAGACUCCAGUGCAGUCAUGUGGUGGAAGAAGAUUUAUAGACAAAAGGGAAGUGGCAUACCGAAAUUGGAAGUGAGGUACAGAAACAACUCAGUGUUUGCCUUGUUUGAACACAGUUUGAACAUUUGGCAGUGCCUGAGUGGUUGAAGUUUGUCCAUUGGGAUUGGCCAAGAUGUAGCUGUUGUUCCAGGUGCAUACUCUUAAGUUAGUUUUUCAUUCUUGUAUACUUAUUAAGGUAGGUUGCAGUUCAUCCACAAGGACUCAUAUAUAGAAUUGUGGAGUCCUUCUCAGGCCAUACUUAGUUCACUUUAACAAUGCCUUCCCUUUGGUUAUUUUCUCAAUUUUGAGAGAUUGGCCAAAAAUUCAGUCACUGGUGUCACUAUUACCAUUGCAAAUGUACUUACUUGGUUUAGAAACCCACUGGGAAAUAGACCAGUGAGAUUUGAAAAGGUGGAACAAGG
rnacentral:lncRNA from 1 species